rnacentral:tRNA from 1 species
GCCCGAAUGGCGGAAUUGGUAGACGCGCUACAUUCAGGGUGUAGUAACCAAACGGUUGUGCAAGUUCGAGUCUUGUUUCGGGUA